rnacentral:rRNA from 1 species
GACGAACGCUGGCGGCGUGCUUAACACAUGCAAGUCGAACGAAGUGGCGAACGGGUGAGUAACGCGUAAUCAACCUGCCCUUCAGAGGGGGACAACAGUUGGAAACGACUGCUAAUACCGCAUACUGAAGGAGGGGCUUGCGUCUGAUUAUCUAGGUGGAGGGGUAACGUCCCACCAAGGCGAUGAUCAGUAGCCGGUCGGAGAGGAGGAACGGGCAAAUUGGGACUGAGACACGGCCCAGAACCCUACGGGAUGCAGCAGUGGGGAAUCUUCCGAAAUGGGCGAAAGUCUGACGGAGCAACGCCGGGGGAGUGAUGACGGCCUUCGGGUUGUAAAGCUCUGUUAAUCGGGACGCGGUACCGGAAUAGAAAGCCACGGCUAACUACGUGCCAGCAGCCGCGGUAAUUC